GGAUUAGAUACCCUGGUAGUCCACGCAGUAAACGGUGAACACUAGGUGUAGCGGGUAUUGACCCCUGCUGUGCCGCAGCAAACGCAUUAAGUGUUCCGCCUGGGGAGUACGGCCGCAAGGUUAAAACUCAAAGGAAUUGACGGGGGCCCGCACAAGCGGUGGAGCAUGUGGUUUAAUUCGACGCAACGCGAAGAACCUUACCUGGAUUUGACAUCCCGUGAAUCUUUUUGAAAAAUUAGAGUGCCCUUCGGGGAGCCCGGUGACAGGUGCUGCAUGGCUGUCGUCAGCUCGUGCCG
rnacentral:rRNA from 1 species